ensembl:lncRNA
CCUAUGUUUGCAAAUCUAUAAGUAUUUGAUUUCAAGUAAUAAAUUGAAUGACUGCUUAUUUUCUGUGAGAACAUGCAUUUCCAAAACACACUGUUGAAAAUUCCAUCAAUGCAUGACCCUAUCUUGAUCUGAGAUUCACUUCUUCCUAAAGCCACCCAGGCAAAUACAUUUGUAAUAUUUGUGUGCUUAACUAUGCAUGUCUUCUACAGGGUCCGCUCGCUGCCAUGACACUCAAUCAAAGCACCUAGAGUGAGCUGGUCAUGACCAGAGUCCGCAUGAAGCAGAGCAAAUACCAAGGAGAGCGCUGGGUGACCACGAGGUAAACUGAAGGUUACUUAUCACUCCCCAAAGAUCCUUGGCACAUACUCUCUGCUCCGCGCGGAAAGAAAGCACUUGUCUGUUGUGUGUUAAGUGGUUGGUCCUGUGAUUUGUCUUUCAGAAUUGGAAAUAGAACAGCCAUUUGGAAGAUCUGGGCAGGAAGCAACAGAGCACAGCUUUGGAGCCUUCUUUAGGGAAAUCGAGUUAUGGAUUUAUGGUCCCGGUCAAGCUCAGCCCAGCCCUAGCCAGGGGCGGGCUCCGCAGCAAGAGUUCUUUCUGGCGGUGGCGGCGGUGGCGGCAGCGGCAGCGGCAGCAGUGACAGCGGUAGCAGAGGCAGAGGCAGCGGCAGCUUGGCCCUCUGACUCUCUUCGGUGACGGGUAUUCUUGGGUGGAUAAUACGGAUUACGUUGUUAUUGCUUAAGAAUACGCGUAGUCGAGGAGAGUACCAGCGGCAGGCGGGCAGCGGCCGCCCCUCCCAGCCCACCAGCUGGCCACUAAAAGCUCCCGGUUGCCAAGGAGCCCUGCAAACAGUAAUCUCUUUGAAGCUUGGGAGAAGGACUUCCUUCUUAAGGUUUUGAUCAAGUUAGACGCACUGCUCAGAAGACAAAUGGCAUCACAGGACAGAUUUGAAAGAAGUUUCAAGAAAACAGCUGCAUUAGAAGACCAAGGGAGUUCCAGGAACAAGAUGAGAAGAGUAUUUUACUAUAUGGAACAUGUUCUUCAUUACGACUCUGGCAACUAAAACAGUCACUAUGGCUGGUUAUCAAUUAAGUACCUACCAAAAAAAGAAUAACCUUUAGAUCUCCCUUUAAUGAGGAUAAAAUGUUUUUACACUGAUCAUGAUUUUCUGAAUGUAAGUCUAUUUCUAACUUAUCAGUCGCGUCCUGACUCUUAAAUGUAGCAUUUGAAUCAACUGCCCAGGAACUUUGAAUGGCACCCAUCCACCCAUUAGAAGGCAAGGAGAUGAAUUAGAAGCAGCUGAUAAAAUCCUUGGUAUGAUUUGUGGCACUUUAACAAAGGACAUUUUGUAUAUGUAACAAAAUCACAACAAAAUAUAGAGUGCCUUGUUACGAAGGGAUCAGCUAUACAUUACUUGAAACUUCCAUUCUGAGACUGCAAAUGCAGAAUACAUACUGAGUAAUUGCUACUCAACAGGAAUUGAUUCUGUUUUCAGGGAAUUGGCCAUAAUGAAAAAAAAAUCAUCUGCAAAUAAUAAUUAAGGGGUAAGACAAUUAAGCUUCUGAAAAUAGAAUUAAAUGUGCAUACAGAUGCACUGAGACUGAUUAAAAAAAAAAAGCAGAUGACUUCAAUCCAGUUUGCACCUACAUUGUUUGGCUACUAACAAAGUGUAGCAAUUUUAAAUUCAUUUAAAGACCUUUUUGAAAAAAAAGGAAGAAAGAAAAGAAGAAAAGAAAAUAAAGAUCUCUCAGUUGCAUCA